rnacentral:rRNA from 1 species
UAAGGAAUAUUGGACAAUGGAGGCAACUCUGAUCCAGCCAUGCCGCGUGAAGGAAUAAGGCCCUAUGGGUUGUAAACUUCUUUUAGACGGGACAAAACCCCUUUACGUGUAAAGGGUUGAUGGUACUGUCAGAAUAAGCAUCGGCUAACUUCGUGCCAGCAGCCGCGGUAAUACGAAGGAUGCAAGCGUUAUCCGGAAUUAUUGGGUUUAAAGGGUGCGUAGGCGGACUAAUAAGUCAGUAGUGAAAGCCUGCAGCCUAACUGCAGAAUUGCCAUUGAUACUGUUAGUCUUGAGUACAGUUGAGGUAGGCGGAAUGUGUCAUGUAGCGGUGAAAUGCUUAGAUAUGACACAGAACACCGAUUGCGAAGGCAGCUUGCUAAGCUGUAACUGACGCUGAGGCACGAAAGCGUGGGGAGCAAAC